rnacentral:tRNA from 1 species
GGCUGGCUGGCUCGGUCAGUAGAGCAUGUGACUCUUGGUCUCAGGGUUGUGAGUUCAAGUCCCACAUCGGCUG